rnacentral:rRNA from 1 species
UACGUAGGGUGCAAGCGUUGUCCGGAAUUAUUGGGCGUAAAGAGCUCGUAGGCGGUCAGUCGCGUCUGCUGUGAAAACUCGGGGCUUAACUCCGGGCCUGCAGUGGGUACGGGCUGACUAGAGUGCGGUAGGGGAGACUGGAAUUCCUGGUGUAGCGGUGGAAUGCGCAGAUAUCAGGAGGAACACCGGUGGCGAAGGCGGGUCUCUGGGCAGUAACUGACGCUGAGGAGCGAAAGCGUGGGGAGCGAACAGG